rnacentral:rRNA from 1 species
CACACUGGACUGAGACACGGUCCAGACUCCUACGGGAGGCAGCAGUGGGGAAUAUUGCACAAUGGGCGAAAGCCUGAUGCAGCCAUGCCGCGUGUAUGAAGAAGGCCUUCGGGUUGUAAAGUACUUUCAGUUGUGAGGAAGGGUGUGUAGUUAAUAGCUGCGCAUCUUGACGUUAGCAACAGAAGAAGCACCGGCUAACUCCGUGCCAGCAGCCGCGGUAAUACGGAGGGUGCGAGCGUUAAUCGGAAUUACUGGGCGUAAAGCGCAUGCAGGUGGUUCAUUAAGUCAGAUGUGAAAGCCCGGGGCUCAACCUCGGAACUGCAUUUGAAACUGGUGAACUAGAGUGCUGUAGAGGGGGGUAGAAUUUCAGGUGUAGCGGUGAAAUGCGUAGAGAUCUGAAGGAAUACCAGUGGCGAAGGCGGCCCCCUGGACAGAUACUGACACUCAGAUGCGAAAGCGUGGGGAGCAAACAGGAUUAGAUACCCUGGUAGUCCACGCCGUAAACGAUGUCUACUUGGAGGUUGUGGCCUUGAGCCGUGGCUUUCGGAGCUAACGCGUUAAGUAGAC